CCAGACUCCUACGGGAGGCAGCAGUGAGGAAUAUUGGUCAAUGGGCGGGAGCCUGAACCAGCCAAGUCGCGUGAGGGAAGACGGUCCUAUGGAUUGUAAACCUCUUUAGGCGGGGAGCAAUGCCGGGCACGCGUGUCCGGAGGGAGAGUACCCGCAGAAUAAGCAUCGGCUAACUCCGUGCCAGCAGCCGCGGUAAUACGGAGGAUGCGAGCGUUAUCCGGAUUUACUGGGUGUAAAGGGCGUGUAGGCGGGGACGCAAGUCAGAUGUGAAAGCCACGGGCUCAACCUGUGGCCUGCAUUUGAAACUGUGUUUCUUGAGUACUGGAGAGGCAGACGGAAUUCCUAGUGUAGCGGUGAAAUGCGUAGAUAUUAGGAGGAACACCAGUGGCGAAGGCGGUCUGCUGGACAGCAACUGACGCUGAGGCGCGAAAGCGUGGGGAGCAAACAGGAUUAGAUACCCGUGUA
rnacentral:rRNA from 1 species